GACUCCAGAUCUGGAGUGUAAUUUGACUCAUUUGAGAGUUUAGAAGCAGCCAGAGCCUUCCCGCUACAGCUCCCUUGGAGGGGGAGGGGCAUGAGACAGGUCACUUUGCUCAAAUGACAAGGUGGUGAUGACCCGCAACUCUGUUGUGAUGCAGAGAUUGUUGGGUCAGCCCCCAGGGGCUGCAGCAUUUCACACCAGGCUGUCGCCCAGAGCACAUGGCUGCUGCCUGUGGGUCUGAGUAUAGGGACCAGGGUGAUGGAGCAGGGCCUUUGGGACCAACCUGCUUCCAUUGCUAAAGAAGGGAACGUGAGACACAGAAGGAUGAAGGAAAGUAUUCUUGUCCAACUGCAACGUAAUCUCUUCUUUCUGUUGAUUUGAUCACUGCAGCUUGUCUGUCAGAAGUAGUAAGAGAACCUGUUCCUAUCAAGAGGUAAGGAAUGCACCUUCUCCUAGCAAUGGAGUGGAAACUAACCAAUCUCAGUGUACUUUCAGGUGAAGAAAGUGAACCUAUCCUUUGCUGUCAAAGGCUACAAGCAGUUUCAUAAGAUUAAAGCAAGAUACAUAACCAAAGCUUCUGAGAGGUUACAGAAGUAUUGACUUGCUCUAGCCAAAAAUAAGGAAACCACUUAUACCUACCAGAUUAACAAUACAGCUGAUUGUAUGGAGAGAAAGAGAAACCAAUCCAGCAAUUCAUCACGCAGAAGGAGGUCAUAUUUCGAGAUGCAAGGAUGACACAUGGCUGUCGUUUACAGGAAGGAAUUAGCUGAUCCAUCCUUUUAAGGAGGUAAGAAAUAUGGGAAUGGUGUAUUGUAAUAGUCAAUGGUUCUGGUCAUCCAUUCAGGUGGAAGGAAGGUAACUGAUGAAAUCUUCCUCUCUAAAGAGCACAAGAAGUUGCUGUACUGAAUAAAGCAAUAAAAAUGGGAGCUACCUGUUCAGAUGAAAGCAAAGUAGUUAGUAAUUCUAACCAAUGAUGAUGAUCUCUGCUCCUUUUUCCUUCCCAGAGAAGGCCAUUGGUUGUUCCUACAAGGAUGUAACAGGGAAGUUAUUUCAAAGAACAAGUGCAACUAACCAGAGUGUGAAGAUGAGCAUUGAGCCUGUUCUUGCAUUUGC